UAAAGAGAGGAGGCGGCUUCUACGCCUGGGAGCAGCGGGCCAUGUACGCCCUCCGUGCCCCGCUCAGGGAGUAAAGAGUCUCACCCCCAUCCUGCCUGAGCUUGCACUCACAGUGGCCCUUCAGGUGUGCUGGGAUCCCUGAGCUUGGGGACGGACUGAGGAGCAGAAUGUCUAGAGCACCUGAUCUCCUGACACAGAGCAAUCAACUCCAUCUACAGGAUCAGGAUGGUGAGCUUAGGAAUUCACAGGACCAGUGACCCAGCCUGGAUCCUACAGGAUAAAAGAUGCAAAAUCAGUUAGGGAAGGAACUUGUCUGUUUUGCCCCCACUAUAUCCUCAGCACCUCCAACAAUGGCUGGCACAGAUAUGCAGAUGACACUACCCUUAUGGCAGAAAGUGAAGAGGAACUAAAAAGC